rnacentral:rRNA from 1 species
UACGUAGGGGGCAAGCGUUGUCCGGAUUUAUUGGGCGUAAAGAGCGUGUAGGCGGCUGGGUAGGUCCGUUGUGAAAACUCGAGCUCAACCUCGAGACGCCGAUGGAAACCCCCCAGCUAGAGUCCGGAAGAGGAGAGUGGAAUUCCUGGUGUAGCGGUGAAAUGCGCAGAUAUCAGGAAGAACACCCGUGGCUAAGGCGGCUCUCUAGUACGGUACUGACGCUGAGACGCGAAAGCGUGGGGAGCGAACAGG